rnacentral:rRNA from 1 species
UACGAAGGGGGCUAGCGUUGCUCGGAAUCACUGGGCGUAAAGCGCACGUAGGCGGCUUUUUAAGUCAGGGGUGAAAUCCUGGAGCUCAACUCCAGAACUGCCUUUGAUACUGAGGAUCUCGAGUCCGGGAGAGGUGAGUGGAACUCCGAGUGUAGAGGUGAAAUUCGUAGAUAUUCGGAGGAACACCAGUGGCGAAGGCGGCUCACUGGUCCAUUACUGACGCUGAGGUGCGAAAGCGUGGGGAGCAAACAGG